rnacentral:rRNA from 1 species
GAUGAACGCUAGCGGGAGGCCUAACACAUGCAAGCCGAGCGGUAUUGUUUCUUCGGAAAUGAGAGAGCGGCGUACGGGUGCGUAACACGUGUGCAACCUGCCUUUAUCUGGGGGAUAGCCUUUCGAAAGGAAGAUUAAUACUCCAUAACAUAUUGAACGGCAUCGUUUAAUAUUGAAAGCUCCGGCGGAUAGAGAUGGGCACGCGCAAGAUUAGCUAGUUGGUGAGGUAACGGCUCACCAAGGCGAUGAUCUUUAGGGGGCCUGAGAGGGUGAUCCCCCACACUGGUACUGAGACACGGACCAGACUCCUACGGGAGGCAGCAGUGAGGAAUAUUGGUCAAUGGGUGCAAGCCUGAACCAGCCAUCCCGCGUGAAGGACGACUGCCCUAUGGGUUGUAAACUUCUUUUGGCCGGGAAGAAAAGGCGAUUCCUAAUAGGGGUCGUUCUUGACGGUACCGGCGGAAUAAGCACCGGCUAACUACGUGCCAGCAGCCGCCGUAA